rnacentral:rRNA from 1 species
GACGAACGCUGGCGGCGUGCUUAACACAUGCAAGUCGAACGGAAAGGCCCUGCUUUUGUGGGGUGCUCGAGUGGCGAACGGGUGAGUAACACGUGAGUAACCUGCCCUUGUCUUUGGGAUAACUUCAGGAAACUGGGGCUAAUACCGGAUAGGAGCUCCUGCUGCACGGUGGGGGUUGGAAAGUUUCGGCGGUUGGGGAUGGACUCGCGGCUUAUCAGCUUGUUGGUCGAGUAGUGGCUUACCAAGGCUUUGACGGGUAGCCGGCCUGAGAGGGUGACCGGCCACAUUGGGACUGAGAUACGGCCCAGACUCCUACGGGAGGCAGCAGUGGGGAAUAUUGCGCAAUGGGCGGGAGCCUGAUGCAGCAACGCCGCGUGCGGGAUGACGGCCUUCGGGUUGUAAACCGCUGUCGCCUGUGACGAAGCGUGAGUGACGGUAAUGGGUAAAGAAGCACCGGCUAACUACGUG